rnacentral:rRNA from 1 species
GAUGAACGCUGGCGGCGUGCCUAACACAUGCAAGUCGAGCGAACAGACCUGGAUCUCGUUCUUCUGUCGUUAUCCGCGGACGGGUGAGUAACACGUGGAUCACCUACCUUUUACACUGGGAUUACUUCUGGAAACCGGAGCCAAUACCUGAUUAUCUAUUGAACUGCAUGGUGCAAUCUUUAAUGGCAGUUUUUCUUUUACUUAUAGAUGAUUCCGCGCCGCAUUAUCUGCUUGUUAAGGGAACGGCUUACCAAGGCAACGACGCGUAGCCGCCCUGCGAGGGUGAUCGGAGACACUGGAACUGAGACACGGUCCAGACUCAUACGGGAGGCAGCAGUAGGGAAUGUUACGCAAUGGGAGAAAGCCGGACGGAGAAACACCGCGUGAGUGAUGAAGGUCUUGGGAUCGUAAAAGUAUGUUAUUAGGGAAGAACAGAAGGGUAAGUAGCUAGACACGUCGUGACGGUACCUAAAGAAGAAGCAACGGCUAACUACGUG